rnacentral:rRNA from 1 species
UACGUAGGGUGCGAGCGUUGUCCGGAAUUAUUGGGCGUAAAGAGCUCGUAGGCAGUCUGUCGCGUCGGUCGUGAAAACUUGGGGCUUAACCCUGAGCUUGCGGUCGAUACGGGCAUGACUGGAGUUCGGCAGGGGAGACUGGAAUUCCUGGUGUAGCGGUGAAAUGCGCAGAUAUCAGGAGGAACACCGGUGGCGAAGGCGGGUCUCUGGGCCGAUACUGACGCUGAGGAGCGAAAGCGUGGGGAGCGAACAGG